rnacentral:miRNA from 1 species
UCCCUGGCCAGCGUCUGCAUCGC